UUGCAUGUGGAUAUAUGAAAAGUCUCAACAGUGCAGAGUACCUGCCGAGUGGUUACGAUGAAACUUACAGUAUCGUCUCUUAUGAAUUCAGCAAUACUGAGUAACACAUGCUAACCACAGCACAUCAGAGAACCAGCAGCGCCAGAUCAGAGAGACAACAUGUGCAGCACUCGUACAUCAUGUUGUGUUUCUCAGACAGAUUUAAGAUGGGUCUGAAAAAUUUUUGGAUUGGU